rnacentral:lncRNA from 1 species
GGCUGGGCUGUCGCCUAGGACGACGGUGGCGCGGGAGCGGGCUCCGGCGAGGUUGGGCGGCGCUGCUCCGGCUGUUAGAGUGCACCAAGGACAAAUCCGUGCGCGUCAAAACGUGCGCAAUGUCGAGGCGGUCCAGAAAUUUGAGGUCUCGGACGGGGAGGCUCACCGGCGGUGUCGACCCGAAGCGAAACGGUGGCGGCGGGGUUCCUUGCUCCGGCGAGUAAAUCCGGUGGCGUGGGCGCGUGAGAGUGAGGGAAAACAGAGGGGAAAGAGAGAGGGGGGGCUGGGCUUUAUAGGGGUGUGCUCGAGCAACUUCGGGAAGCACGGAAUCGGCGGAUUCCGGAGAUGGCGGCGCGGCGAGUCCGACGCGGUUUCGAUGGCGUGACGCCGCAUUCCAUCCGGGACGAAGCCUGACAGGAGGGCCCACCUGUCAGCGACGGGCGCGGGCGAAGCUGGGCCGGGCCUGUCUGGUUUUCCCUUUUUUUUCUUUUCUUUUUUUCCUUUUUCUGAUUUCUUUGAUAUCUUUUGAUUUUGAACUCCAAAUUUAUCCAAAUAAAUUCCAGAAAAUUUGUAAAAUCAUAUAAUAAUAUGAUUCAACUUUUGGGACUAAUUUCCCUUCCAAAUAAAAUAUAUAAAAAUACAUUUUCCCUAUAAAUGCUUUUAAGGCUUUAUAACUAUUUAAAUAAAAUAGUGUUUCAACUCCCAAUAAUUAUCCAAAAAUUAUAGGAAAAAUUAUUUAUGCAAUAAACCCCUUUUGUAGUUA